ensembl:lncRNA
GGCAGCCAGAGGUGCAGGAGCAGGGAGGGGGACGGGAGGAGGCAGAGGAGAAGGGAGAGGAGGGGUGGUAGCGGUUCAGCUUCCUCUGGGGCAGGUCAGGUAGGUGGAGGGGGCUGAACCUCUCUCUCUCGUCAUAACUAGGGGGGUCAUCUGAUGCGUAGAAACGCAGGUCGUCUGCCCUCUGCGAGUGGUCGCUAGACAAGGAUCUGUGUAUGGGCUGCUGUGUGUGUAUGUGGUGUGUGUAUACGGGAGCCUGUGUGUUUGUGGAUACCGUGGCAGGUUGGUUUGUAUUGUUGAAGGUAACCGGCAUAGUUUGCUCCUGAGGGUAUGCUGUUUUUGUUUUUGGAUGCUGCAGGUGGUUGGUUAUAUCCACAUCAGCUGACUGGCUUGAGUGUAUGGCAGGGGAAUUGGUAGGGACUUGGGCAGGGGCAUGGGUAGGGACUUGGGCAGGAUCUGGGGCAGCAGGGGCUUGGUUCGGAGCUGGGGCUGGAGCUGGGGCUGAGACUGUGAGGGUUGUGGGUCUCUGUGUGUAGCUGGGGGCCUCUCCUUGUCCCUGGGUUGAGGCCUCUGGUUGCUUUGGCCUUUCAUUGGAUGUCUCUGUGUCUACUGUUGUUGAUGGUGGUUUGUGAGAGAAACUAGCGAUGAUUGUUGUUUUGGUAGGUGAAGGCCUGUAGCUAGACACUGCAGAAACUGAUAACUUUUUAUUGUAGUUAGACGCUGGGGUCGAAUUAUUCGAUAGAUGUCUGUGGAUAGUCGUAGCUGAAGUUGAUGGUUUCUCAUUGUUCACAGGUCUCUCCUCUUCUGUGUUCUGUUUGAAGGUUGAUGUUGGUGCUUCCACGGAUUUCUGCUGUAUUUCAUUGGACAGUGAAUUUGCAUCUGUCGGUUUGAACUUUGGUUUCAGUGCCAGUGGCGGACCGUUGGAUAUUGAGUGAACCUCUAUAGCUUGCGGUCUGGUGUUUGACGUGAUGUUCUUCUCUUGUUUAUCUUGUUUAUGUAUUUCUUUGGACAACGACCUCACCUCGAUCACUUGUGGUCUGUAUCUUCUCAUCAGUGCUGGUGAGCCUGGUAGCGAGCCUGGUAACUUAGGUGAGUAGGUUGAUUUCUUCACCGUCUCUUUUUCAGCAGUGUCUUCCUGUGUUUUCUUCUGUGAGGGUGGUGGUGAUGAUGUCGUGCGUUGCUCUAUGUCUCUGACCGUGGCUCUGACACUAACCCUCUCCUGAUUCGAAGGGGUCCUAACACUGUCUUCCGUUUGAGCAGAGUCUCUUCGAAGCCCGGGAGAAUUUGGGGCCGAAUGGGUAUGUGAGGAAGAGGCUGAUGCAUUGACGGAAGAUGAGGAAAAGGAUGAGGCUGAAGUUGAUGCAUUGACAGAGGUCGAGGAGAAGGAUGAGGUUUCUUUCACAGUGCUUGAGGAUGAUACGGAUGAGGCUGCUUUCACAUAGGAUGAAGAAGAGGACGAGUAAGUUCUCUGUCUGUGUGAGUCACUCGUACCCCCAUCUGAGGGUCCACGGGUCUGAAGAGGGAUCUCUAUUUGGUUGAUAUGUUUCCCUGGGACGCCUCCACCUCCACCCCCACCUUCACGCCCACUCCUUGUUAUGGCCUCUGACACAGCCUCAGAGACCAAAGACCCAAUAUCUGCCUGGUAGCCCUUCUCCUUCACCAGUAUGGACACAGAGUGGCUGGGGGUAGGGGUCUUGAUGGGGACAGUGGAAGGUGGAGUGCCUAGAACUGGGGAUGAAGCUGGUGCUGGAGGAGAAGCUGGGGCUGGCGAAGCUUUGGGACCAAGUGAGGGUGAGGAGGCCAGGAUUGGAGCUGGGGCUGGGAAUGCUGGAGCUGGACCUGGGGAACAGGCAGGAACUAAGGCUGAGAAUGACUUGGGCUUAUUAGAUCCAUCCUGUAGCACCAGAGAAGCACAAGACACUCUUCUGUCUUUACUGGGGAGUUUAGGGCUGCUGCCCAGCAUAGGUGGCUUGGUAUCUCUUCUCACCACUUCAGGUUUGUCACUAGCCUCUGAUAUACUUCGGUGUCUCCUGGUUACUCUCAGUGACUCUGUUUCACUGGGUUUCACCUUGGUGUUGCUUGGUUCUGUUUUGACAGUGUCCUUUACAGGGGUCUUGUGUUGGUUUGACUCUGUCUCUGUCACAGCUACUUCCUCUGUUGCGCAACUCUUAGGUGCUACAUCAGAGAGGUUCCGGGGUCCUUUGGACACCGGCUUAGGUUCGCCUCUAGACGUUUCUCUCUCUGUUUUGUUGGACAUUGUUGUUGUUUUGUUUUUGUUUUCUCUCCAGCUGAUAGCUUUGAAUUCCAUCUGCAUCGGCUUUUCCUCUUUCUGGAGAGAUAUUGGGUGAGGUGGUAGCUUUUCCUCUUUCUGAAGAGAUAUUGGGUGAGGUGGUAGCUUUUCCUCUUUCUUCUCUUCUCUCCUUACUAUUGUCUCUUCAUACCUCCCCUCUUUCCUUUCCACUCUGUCAUCUUUCUUCUCUUCCCUCCUUUCCUCCUUCCUUUCCUCUUUUCUCUCCUCCCUCCUUUCCUGUCUCGGUUCCUCUCCCCUCUCCUCACUCCUCUCCUCCUUCUCUGGUGCUGGCAUGGCCUUGAACGACAGGUUGUAUGUGUUUUUCACCAGCCUUCUCACAUCUCUCACUUUGUGCAUGGGAGCUUUGGCUUUACUGUUCCUAUUGGCAUCCAUAUUCACCAUCUGUUCAUUCAUCUUGUUCAAGGUAUUCACCCCCUUCUCUUCUUCUCUUGUUACUCUAUGUGAAGUCCCUAUUCUCCUGUCUUCCUCUCUGGUUUCUGCAUGUGAAGUCUCCACUGUCCUGUCUUCUUCUGUUGUUUCUCUCUGACAGGUCUUCCCAGGGGAGGCAGUCUCGUGGUUACCCUCAGGUUUAGUUUCUAUCUCGGGCAACAGUGAGAUGUUGAGAGAAGAGGUUUUCUUUAUCUCUGUAACAGGGCUGGGUUUCAGAGUGAUCUCUGGUGUUUUGGACAUGUAGGUGCUCUUGACACUCGGAUGUUUAUGGUUUAAAGAGUCAGAGGGGUAUUCCAGCUUUGUGUUUGUCAUUCCUGCCUGCGUGCUGCUGGCUCGGGUGGCAGUGGGAACGCUGGUGUUCCGGGCAGCUGCAUCUGCUGAGUCACCUGCCUGUUUGUAAUCCCUCUCAUCCCUCCAUUUACUGUCAUCCCUCUCAUCCCUCCAUUUACUGUCAUGUGUCUGCUUACCCCCCAUAUUGGCAUUCUUCUCUGUGGGUUUUUUACUCUCAAACGGGAACACCAGUUCAGACCUCAUCUCUGGUUUGACCGGGUCAGUUCUCCAAGAGUUUGGGUUUCUGGCAGGAGACUCAGUUCUGUCGCUGUUUCUCUGAGGACAAUUAGUAGUAGGGGGCUCAGAUCUCAUCCAAGGGCUAACAUGGUUAGGGCUUCUGUUGCUGUGAGAUUCAAUUCUCUCGUUGCUUCUCUGAGGAAAGGUAACAGGAGCAACAUGUGCGUUGGGACUCAUCUCAGGGGUUGUGCUGGUAGGUUCAGGCCUCUCGUUGCUUCUCCGAGGAAAGGUAACAGGAGCAACAUGUGCGUUGGGACUCAUCUCAGGGGUUGUGUUGGGAGGUUCAGGCCUCUUGUUGCUUCGCUGUAGAGAAGUGGAGUCAGUAUUAAUAGUAUGGUUCAUUCGUCUAACACUGGAUUUCACCCCAAAACUUCCAUGUUGUCUGUUUACGUCAGUGUUUGGACUGGUCUCUCUUCUCACAGCCAGGUGCUCAGAAGAAAAACUGUUUCGUGAGUUUAUGCUGGAACUCAGAUUCCGUGUCUCUGGUUUUGUGGACUCUUUAAGGGUUGACGCCUCACUAUCAGGGGGAAGAGGGGUUUUGUCCUCAGAGGGGCUGAGGUCACCUCCUUCUCCUUCCUGGUCAGUUGGUUUACCAACAUUCUGCAUCUUCUUGGAGAGGAUGUUGUUGAUCAGGCAGGUGGCCAUCUUGGUUUUGGUACAUGUCUCGUCCAGGGACAAAGACUUCUGGAGCUUGCCAUUUCUCUUGGUCUGCUCAGUCCUCUCGGUGGCAGGUUCAGGGCUGGGUUCCGGGCAGUAGGCUUCCUGCAAGGCCGGAGGAGUGCUGUGUUGUCUCUGCAACGUCUCUCUGCUGUGUCUCUUUAGAGAGGUACUGUCCAUCGGAACAAUAGAAGCCACAGGAGCCACAGGAACCAUUACAGGACUAGGAACCAUGAUGGGACUACCAUUGCUGUUCUCACCCAUCUUCAGCUCGGCCGUAUUCCUUCUCUUCAGCUGGAUCUGUCUCUUGGGCACUCCUCUCCUCACCUUCUUGGGCUCCUCUCUCUCCACAGCCACGUCCACACACUCAAAGCUGCCCAUCUCACAUUUUUUGGAUGAGUCCAGGUCGUCAUGGGGUGGAUAAUAAGCCCCAGAGGAGGGCUGCUGCUGCUGCUGGCGUGGGACUGGGAAGUCUUCAUUGUCCAGCUGUGGAACAGACCCUCUGAGGUCAGCAUAGGCCAGCCAGGCUGCAUUAGCCCCCGCUGGGCUGUCCUGGGUGGAGGGCUGGGAGGCUCCAGUGGAGGAGCGGUGGCUGGAGUUGUACAUGUCCAGGUAGUCCACCUGAGGGGAUCCAGAGGACAGGCUGCGGAAGGCCACGUCACUGAACCACUUCACCUCGUUGUCCUCCUCAUCCAGCUUGCUGCCCAUGCUGGAGCUGGAGCCGUUAACUGAGACGCAUCCAGGAACGGAGCUCCCGAGCUGGGGUAUCGCAGGCUUGUAUUUGGGCUGGUACUUCUUGGUGGGUCCCGGUCCACCUCCUCUGGCUGUCUCUGGCUGGGAGCUUUGUGCAGCUCUGUGCAGUAUACAGUGUUGUUGCUGUUGUAGCUGUUGUAUCUGUUGUAGUCUGGUGGUGAGCAGGCUCUCUGAAUAGGAGCAAGCGGCUGGCAUUCCCUGUCGACUCUCUCUGCUUGUGGGAGCUGCGUUGCGGCUUGCAGGCCCUUUUCUAUUCCUGACACUGAAUGACAGGUCAACCUGUUCCCCCUUGUAACUGGCCUCCUCCUGCCUUCCCUCCCCCUUUCCAGGCACCUGCUCCUCCCCCUGUCUCUCCCUCUCCGCUUGCCACUCCCUCUCCAUUGCCCUCUCCUUUUCUUCCUCCCUGUGUCUCUGCCUUUCCUCUCUCUCCCUCUCUCUUUCCCUCUCCUCCUCCCUUUGCCACUCCCUCUCUCUUUCACCCUCCUCCUCCCUCUGCCUCUCCAUCUUUCUUUCCCUCUCCUCCUUCUCCCUUAUCUCCAUCUCUCUGUUCCUUUUUCUUUCCCUCUGCGUCUCUCUAUCCCUCUGUUGCAUCUCCCACAACAUCUCCCUCUCCUCCUCCUCCUCAUCUCUCUCCCUCUCCUCCUCCUCCUCCUCUUCCCCAUCUCUCUCCCUCUCCUCCUCCUCCUCUUCCCCAUCUCUCUCCUUGUCCUCCUCCUCCUCCUCAUCUCUCUCCCUCUCCCUUUCCAGGUGUGUACUGUCAACAGAUGAAAAAGUGGGGCUUCCCCUGGAUGUCACAGCCUCUGUGACAGACUCCAUCAUGUUCUCAGACUCCAUUAUGACCUCAAUGGCCUGGGUCUCAGGGGGUCUGUGAUUCCUGUUUCCCCAGUGGCCAUGUGGCCUCCCAGGGACCGGGGAUAGGAUGUGUACUGGAGUGAACCUGGUGAGGGAAGGAGAAGGGGUGUCUUCCUUACCCAUAUGAUGAGCCAUGUCUGCUUCAGUUAGCCUCUCUAUGGUUUUAUUCCUAGAGUUGGGUGAGGUUUCUCUACAUGGGUGCUCAGGUGUAGGAGACUUGUGUGAGGGGUUGCUGCUGUCACUAAGGUCAGGGGUUAGAGAUGAGACUAGAUGUUUAGGCUCCAGAUCUUCCAGUCUCUGGACAGGUGAGUUGCCUGUAACCCCAUGGUCAGGUGAAAGGGAGGGGCUCCUUCCUCUAGAAGAAACAGUGGUAUCAGGUGAGAUGGGUCUGAUUUCAGGUGUGAAGUUUCUGAUUUCAGGUGUGAUGUUUAUGAUCUCAGGUGAAUGGGCAGGGAACUUGUAGGGGACUGGGAUUUCUCCUAGUACAGGUGAAGAGGUGGUCUCUCUACUCUCUUCAGUAGGUGAUGCUUCCCUGAAGUCGUGAGAAAGGUGAUUACCCAAGGGGUUUGAGGUGCCGUUAGUAAUGAGUCUGUCUGAUAGGCCACCAACACGCCUCUCACGUACGCCAGGUGAAGCCCUGCGUUCAGGUGAGUGGCCAGGACUCUUUAUUCCAGGUGAGCCAGGUGAAGCCCUGCGUUCAGGUGAGUGGCCAGGACUCUUU